AGAGCCAGGCGGCCCGAGAUGGACUUUCGCCAGUGGAUUUGUACGGUUUUUCUGGCAUGUCUCAGCACUUCCCGAGGUCAAAUUUUUGGAUGUCCUCCCAGCGAGUGGCCGUGUGACGAUGGAAACUGUAUUCCUGCUAUCCAGAGGUGUGAUGGAAAUGGAGACUGUCUGGAUGGAUCUGAUGAAAUGGAUUGCACUGGUUCCCAUGAAUGUGCCCCAGGUCAGUUUCCAUGUGUUGACUCUGUUGGCUGCGUUGAUGCGUCGGCCCGCUGUGACGGACAAAACCAGUGUCCCCCUGGCUCUGAUGAGCAGAACUGUGCAGCCACAAAGGGCUGUUUGGACUCUGACUGGACGUGUCGAAACCACAUUUGUAUCCCCCAAGACCUGCGCUGCAAUGGACUGAAUGACUGCCUGGACAACUCUGACGAAGAGGACUGUGGUCCGUGUGGCCCAGACGGCGUACGGUGUCCCGAGGGCAGGUGCCUGGGUGCUGCGGAGCGGUGUGACGGGACCGCUCGCUGCUCUGAUGGCAGGGACGAGCCCGUAACCUGCGGCCGCGUUUGCUCUCUAGAUAACGGCGGCUGUAGCCACGAGUGUGUGGACGAACCCCGCGGCGCUCGCUGUUCCUGUCCGCUCGGCUACGAGCUCUCGGCCAGCGGAGCGGUCUGCGACGAUUUGGAUGAAUGUGCCCAACCAUUUGGCCCCUGUAUGCAUUACUGCUCAAACACUGUCGGAUCCUUCUAUUGCCACUGCAGAGAGGGCUUCAUACUGAAGGGCAGUUCCACAUGUCUAGCUACAGGUAAUGCUACCAGACUGCUAGUUGUACAGAGCAGCUCCAUCGGCUUGUUGAAUGUGACGACUGAGCGCUUUGAAGCGGUCGACCACCCGGGCCUCGACCCGGUGGCCUUGGCUUUCGACGUGGCCCGAGGCUGGUACUUCUGGGCGGACAACAAUGGCAGCAUUUACAAAAGUGAUGGACGGCACAGCUCGACAAUCUAUACUGGGGAGCCUGGCAUCAACAGUCUAGCGUGUGAUUGGUUGAAUGGACACCUUUUCUGGGCCAAUCAGAAGACUGCGUCGAUCUACAUGCAGGCAGCUGAUGGGAAAAGCCACACUACACUGCUGAGCAGAAACACCAGUCCAUCAGAGUUGCUGCUAAUUCCUGUGGAGAGCCUGAUGUUCUGGAUCAGUGGCGGCUCUGGAGAGCGAGUGACCUUGGAGAAGUCGUGGAUGGACGCGUCGGAGAGGAGCACGCUGACUGUGCUCACGGCUCAGUCGGCCCACAGCCUCACUGCUGACGUGGCCGCCAGGAGGCUCUACUGGGUCAGCGACUCCAAGAAGUCCGUAGAGACGGUGAAGGUGGACGGGACCGGCCGUUACUCCUUCCUGGGGAUGUUCGACAGGAGACCCGCUCUCGCCCUGGCCGUGUUUGAAAGUUACUUUUACUGGGUGGAUGACGAAGGUCUGUGGCAGGUCGCGCAGAACCAACCGAACCAGAGGAGAUUCAUAUUGAAAGGAACUCUGCCCAUAUUAGCUGCUUACCAUGAAUUACAGCAGCCUCAAGGUUCCUCAGCAUGUAGGAAGAGUCCGUGUCAUCUCUGCCAGCUCACUAAAGGCAACGCUGCUGGGUUUUCCUGCACUUGUCCGAACUCCAAAGUUCUGAUGCUGGAUGGAACGUGUGAAUAUCCACGGUUUAUUUACGCUACCACCAGCAGCAUCAACAUGCUGGAGUUUAGUGGAAGAGGCUCCUCCAAAAUCCAGCUGUUCACCACCGACGACGGCAUCCUCUCCUUUGACCUGGACUGGUACAGAGACUGGCUUUACUGGGCUAACCAAACGGGCCACAUCCAACGCACCAGUCUAACCCUGGUCAAGGCUGAGGUGGUCCCAACACCUGUGCCAGCUUGUCUGAUAAAAAUUGACCAGAUGAGCGGUGACCUUUAUUGGGUGUCAUGUGACCAGAAAAGCAUCGGCACCGCCACAGCCGACCAUCGCUACCCUCAUCAGCUGUACCACACCACAAACGAGAUCAGGGACCUGAACGUGGACUGGCUGCGGGGGGGCAUCCUCUGGCUGGAGGGAGACAGAGUCCUCACCAUGAGCAUGACGGGAGGCGCCGCCAGCGAGCUGCCGCGCCUGGCAGGGGGAGCGCGGGGCAACGUCGCCUUUGACCUCCGGGCGAACAGUCUGCUCUGGAACUCAAAGAGGGCAGGUUUGACGACAAUGAGUUUGCUGCAGGAAAGAAGCCAUCGAGCGGGCGGAAGGUGGAACGUUUCGGGCUCGGUAAUCGCCGCCUUUGAGCCCUUCCUGCUGUCCCGCUCGGACCACGUAGUUACUCUGUGGGACCGGCGCGAUGGGAGCCAGAUCCGUGACGUGACCGUGAGGGGCCGCGUGUCCGGUGUGAUCCCGGCACUCGCCGACCUCGGCACAGUGCCCAAUACCACGUUCUGCAGUGAACCUUCUGUGAUGUGCCGGCACACAUCUGUCUGCAUUCCGCAGGAGCAGCUGUGUGACGGGAACAAGGACUGCCCAGAAGGAGACGAUGAGAAUCUUUGUGUAGCCACAUGUCCUUCUGAAGAUUUCAAGUGCAAGGACGGAAGGCGCUGCGUCUCCAGGACUCUGGUUUGUGACGGUCAUCCACAGUGUCCCGACGGCUCUGACGAGGACGGCUGUCCAAGGUCCGCUCCUCGAGCAGCUCGGUCGAACGUCCUGAAGUGCCGUGUGGGCUCGAAGGCGUGUGAAGACGGCACGGAGUGCGUCUUGUACAGCCACGUGUGUGACGGGGAAAGGGACUGUUGGGACGGAUCAGAUGAACGGGGAUGUGAUGCUGCAGUCACUUCCAGUCCCACUACGUCACAGAAGCCAGUCAUAACUGAAUCCCCUGCUCCCACCAAGCCAGCCUGCAUCAGCCCCUCAGUUCUGUGUGCAGGUUCUUCUGUUUGCAUCACCCCAAACCAGCUUUGUGAUGGAAAGAAGGACUGCCCUGAUGGGUCUGAUGAGAACUGCAUCAACAGAUGCCCUUACAGGACCGACUUCCGCUGCAAAGACCGUAGGAGCUGCAUCUCCAGGAGUCUGGUUUGUGAUGGAAUCUCUCACUGCCACGAUGGCUCAGAUGAAGUCGACUGUCCGAAUGCUGCUCCUCGGGCUGCUCAGGCAAAUGUCCUCAAGUGCCGUGUGGGCUCCAGAAUGUGUCAAGAUGGGACCGAAUGUGUCCUCUUCAGUCACGUUUGUGAUGGAGAGAUUGACUGUCAGGAUGGAUCAGAUGAACAGGGAUGUGAUGCUGCAGUCACUUCCAGUCCCACUACGUCAAAGAGGCCAGUCAUAACUGAAUCUCCUGCUCCCACCAAGCCAGCCUGCAUCAGCCCCUCAGUUCUGUGUGCAGGUUCUUCUGUUUGCAUCACCCCAAACCAGCUUUGUGAUGGAAAGAAGGACUGCCCUGAUGGGUCGGAUGAGAACUGCAUCGACAGAUGCCCUUACAGGACCGACUUCCGCUGCAAAGACCGUAGGAGCUGCAUCUCCAGGAGUCUGGUUUGUGAUGGAAUCUCUCACUGCCACGAUGGCUCAGAUGAAGUCAACUGUCCGAAUGCUGCUCCUCGAGCUGCUCAGGCAAAUGUCCUCAAGUGCCGUGUGGGCUCAACGCUGUGUGAAGACGGCACGGAGUGCGUCUUAUACAGCCAUGUGUGUGACGGGGAAAGGGACUGUCAGGAUGGAUCAGAUGAACAGGAAUGUGAUGCUGCAGUCACUUCCAGUCCCACUACGUCAAAGAGGCCAGUCAUAACUGAAUCUCCUGCUCCCACCAAGCCAGCCUGCAUCAGCCCCUCAGUUGUGUGUGCAGGUUCUUCUGUUUGCAUCACCCCAAACCAGCUUUGUGAUGGAAAGAAGGACUGCCCUGAUGGGUCUGAUGAGAACUGCAUCAACAGAUGCCCUUACAGGACCGACUUCCGCUGCAAAGACCGUAGGAGCUGCGUCUCCAGGAGUCUGAUUUGUGAUGGAAUCUCUCACUGCCACGAUGGCUCAGAUGAAGUCAACUGUCCGAAUGCUGCUCCUCGAGCUGCUCAGGCAAAUGUCCUGAAGUGCCGUGUGGGCUCAACGCUGUGUGAAGAUGGCACAGAGUGUGUCUUAUACAGCCAUGUGUGUGACGGGGAAAGGGACUGUCAGGAUGGAUCAGAUGAACAGAAUUGUGAUGCUGCAGUCACUUCCAGUCCCACUACGUCACAGAGGCCAGUCGUAACUGAAUCCCCUGCUCCCACCAAGCCAGCCUGUAUCAGCCCCUCAGUUGUGUGUGCAGGUUCUUCUGUUUGCAUCACCCCAAACCAGCUUUGUGAUGGAAAGAAGGACUGCCCUGAUGGGUCUGAUGAGAACUGCAUCAACAGAUGCCCUUACAGGACCGACUUCCGCUGCAAAGACCGUAGGAGCUGCAUCUCCAGGAGUCUGGUUUGUGAUGGAAUCUCUCACUGCCACGAUGGCUCAGAUGAAGUCAACUGUCCGAAUGCUGCUCCUCGAGCUGCUCAGGCAAACAUCCUGAAGUGCCGUGUGGGCUCAACGCUGUGUGAAGACGGCACGGAGUGCGUCUUAUACAGCCAUGUGUGUGACGGGGAAAGGGACUGUCAGGAUGGAUCAGAUGAACAGGGAUGUGAUGCUACAGUCACUGCCCGUCCCACUACGUCAAAGAGGCCAGUCAUAACUGAAUCACCUGCUCCCACCAAGCCAGCCUGCAUCAGCCCCUCAGUUCUGUGUGCAGGUUCUUCUGUUUGCAUCACCCCAAACCAGCUUUGUGAUGGAAAGAAGGACUGCCCUGAUGGGUCUGAUGAGAACUGCAUCAACAGAUGCCCUUACAAGACCGACUUCCGCUGCAAAGACCGUAGGAGCUGCAUCUCCAGGAGUCUGGUUUGUGAUGGAAUCUCUCACUGCCACGAUGGCUCAGAUGAAGUCGACUGUCCGAAUGCUGCUCCUCGAGCUGCUCAGGCAAAUGUCCUCAAGUGCCGUGUGGGCUCCAGAAUGUGUCAAGAUGGGACCGAAUGUGUCCUCUUCAGUCACGUUUGUGAUGGAGAGACUGACUGUAAGGAUGGAUCAGAUGAACAGGGAUGUGAUGCUGCAGUCACUUCCAGUCCCACUACGUCAGAGAGGCCAGUCAUAACUGAAUCCCCUGCUCCCACCAAGCCAGCCUGCAUCAGCCCCUCAGUUGUGUGUGCAGGUUCUUCUGUUUGCAUCACCCCAAACCAGCUUUGUGAUGGAAAGAAGGACUGCCCUGAUGGGUCUGAUGAGAACUGCAUCGACAGAUGCCGUUACAGGACUGAAUUUCGCUGCAAAGACCGUAGGAGCUGCAUCUCCAGGAGUCUGGUUUGUGAUGGAAUCUCUCACUGCCACGAUGGCUCAGAUGAAGUCGACUGUCCGAAUGCUGCUCCUCGAGCUGCUCAAGCAAACGUCCUGAAGUGCCGGGUGGGCUCCAGAAUGUGUCGAGAUGGGACCGAAUGUGUCCUCUUCAGUCACGUUUGUGAUGGAGAGAGAGACUGCCAGGACGGAUCAGAUGAAGAAGGCUGUGAUGCUGCAGAAUCUCCCACUUCCAUUCCCCUCUUAACUGAAUCUCCUGCUCCCACCAAGCCAGCCUGCAUCAGCCCCUCAGUUGUGUGUGCAGGUUCUUCUGUUUGCAUCACCCCAAACCAGCUUUGUGAUGGAAAGAAGGACUGCCCUGAUGGGUCUGAUGAGAACUGCAUCAACAGAUGCCCUUACAGGACCGACUUCCGCUGCAAAGACCGUAGGAGCUGCAUCUCCAGGAGUCUGGUUUGUGAUGGAAUCUCUCACUGCCACGAUGGCUCAGAUGAAGUCGACUGUCCGAAUGCUGCUCCUCGAGCUGCUCAGGCAAAUGUCCUGAAGUGCCGUGUGGGCUCCAGAAUGUGUCAAGAUGGGACCGAAUGUGUCCUCUUCAGUCACGUUUGUGAUGGAGAGAUUGACUGUCAGGAUGGAUCAGAUGAACAGGGAUGUGAUGCUGCAGUCACUUCCAGUCCCACUACGUCAGAGAGGCCAGUCAUAACUGAAUCCCCUGCUCCCACCAAGCCAGCCUGCAUCAGCCCCUCAGUUCUGUGUGCAGGUUCUUCUGUUUGCAUCACCCCAAACCAGCUUUGUGAUGGAAAGAAGGACUGCCCCGAUGGGUCUGAUGAGAACUGCAUCAACAGAUGCCGUUACAGGACCGACUUCCGCUGCAAAGACCGUAGGAGCUGCAUCUCCAGGAGUCUGGUUUGUGAUGGAAUCUCUCACUGCCACGAUGGCUCUGAUGAAGUAGACUGUCCGAAUGCUGCUCCUCGAGCUGCUCAGGCAAACGUCCUCAAGUGCCGUGUGGGCUCAACGCUGUGUGAAGACGGCGCGGAGUGUGUCUUAUACAGCCAUGUGUGUGACGGGGAAAGGGACUGUCAGGAUGGAUCAGAUGAACAGGGAUGUGAUGUUUCUCCAUCAACCGAAAUGCCACCUGCCAUCGAUCCCCCUCCUCCGACCAUGCCGCCCUGCAUCGGCCCCUCCGUGCUCUGUCCCAGCUCCGCUGCUCCCCUCUGCAUUUCGCCAAAACAAUUUUGCGAUGGCCGCAAAGACUGUCCCAAUGGCUUUGAUGAAGAGAACUGCGUGAGAAGCUGUCCCUCUAAAAAUGACUUCCGCUGCAAAGACCGUAGGAGCUGCAUCUCCAGGAGUCUGGUUUGUGACGGCCGCUCUCACUGCUACGAUGGCUCGGAUGAAGUAGACUGUCCGAGUGCUGCUGCUCCUCCAGCUGCAGCAAACGCACUGAAGUGCCGCCGGGGCUCCAGAAUGUGUCAAGAUGGGACUGAAUGUGUCCUCUUCAGUCACGUUUGUGAUGGAGAGAAUGACUGCCAGGACGGAUCAGAUGAAGAAGGCUGUGAUGCUGCAGAAUCUCCCACUUCCAUUCCCCUCUUAACUGAAUCCCCUGCUCCCACCAAGCCAGCCUGCAUCAGCCCCUCAGUUCUGUGUGCAGGUUCUUCUGUUUGCAUCACCCCAAACCAGCUUUGUGAUGGAAAGAAGGACUGCCCUGAUGGGUCUGAUGAGAACUGCAUCGACAGAUGCCGCUACAGGACUGAAUUUCGCUGCAAAGACCGUAGGAGCUGCAUCUCCAGGAGUCUGGUUUGUGAUGGAAUCUCUCACUGCCACGAUGGCUCAGAUGAAGUAGACUGUCCGAAUGCUGCUCCUCGAGCUGCUCAGGCAAACGUCCUGAAGUGCCGUGUGGGCUCCAGAAUGUGUCGAGAUGGGACCGAAUGUGUCCUCUUCAGUCACGUUUGUGAUGGAGAGACUGACUGCCAGGAUGGAUCAGAUGAAGAAGGCUGUGAUGCUGCAGAAUCUCCCACUUCCAUUCCCCUCUUAACUGAAUCUCCUGCUCCCACCAAGCCAGCCUGCAUCAGCCCCUCAGUUGUGUGUGCAGGUUCUUCUGUUUGCAUCACCCCAAACCAGCUUUGUGAUGGAAAGAAGGACUGCCCUGAUGGGUCUGAUGAGGUCGACUGUCCCAGCUGGGCUUCUCCUGCGGCUCGAGUAAACCCGCUGAAGUGCCGCUUGGGCUCGAAGCCAUGUGAUGACUCAACAGAGUGUGUCUUAUACAGCCACGUGUGUGAUGGGGAAAGAGACUGCAUGGAUGGAUCUGAUGAACAGGGAUGCACUGACACCUGCAAGCAAGGAGAGUUCCAGUGCUCCCAUGGGAAAAUGUGCAUCCCUGAGGCGGAGGUGUGUGACGGCAGGUCGCAGUGCAGAGACCAGUCAGACGAAGUGGACUGCGGGAAACCCGGCACGAGCUGUGAGCAUCGCUGCGCCGACGGCAAGCGCUGCAUCCCGAAGAAGUUCCUGUGCGAUGGCGAGAGAGACUGCCUCGAUGGCACCGAUGAGCUGGGCUGUGGUACGUCCUCAGACGCAGCAACAGCAGAGUCUCCGGUUCCCACAGACGUGUCUGCUUGCAUAAGUCCUUCCGUCCGCUGCCCGGGGUCACCGCUUUGCAUCGCUCCAGAUCAGCUGUGCGACGGGCAGAGACACUGUCCUGACGGUUUCGAUGAAAAGAACUGUGUGCUCCAAUGCCAAAAUCCAGGUGACUUCUUAUGCGACGACCGGAGGAUGUGCGUCCCCGGGACGGACGUGUGCGAUGGUCAUGCCCACUGUGCCGACGGCUCGGAUGAGGAGCGGUGUCCAUCAGCAGGUCCCACGCCUCCCACCUCCAACAGCGCGUCCGGUGACGGCUCGGCCCCGCUGAGGUGCCGCAAAGGUUUGAAGCCAUGCAAGGACGGCCUCGAGUGUGUGAUGUACAGCCACGUGUGCGACGGCGAGAGAGACUGCCAGGAUGGAUCGGACGAGGAGGGGUGUGUCGCUCAGUGCGAAGCAGGAGAGUUCCAUUGUGCCCACGGGAGUAAAUGCAUCCCACCGGAGCAGGUGUGCGACGGGCAGAACGACUGCCAGGACCGAUCGGAUGAAAUGGACUGUUCGAGUCAGACGGAGGGCUGCCCUCGCCGCUGUGACAACAACACGCGCUGCAUCCCGGACACCUUCCUGUGUGACGGCGAGAGGGACUGCGCCGACGGGUCCGACGAAGAGGCGUGCGGUGUGGUGGCCUGCACGUUGAACCAGUACCGCUGCCUUAGCGGCCAGUGCGUGUCUGAGGCCCUGAGGUGCGACGGGUACGCGGACUGCACCGACCGCUCCGACGAGGCGCACUGCACUCGACCCCCGCGCUGCCUGACGCAGCUUCGCUGUCCGAACAGCCACGAGUGCCUGCAGAGGGAGUGGCUCUGUGACGGAGAGGACGACUGCAAAGACGGCUCGGACGAGAAGAAUUGCGUGUUGCCACCAGUGAAGUGCAUGGAACACCAGUGGCAGUGUGGAGACGGCAAUGAGUGCAUCCCUGUGUCGUGGAGGUGUGACGGGAGGAAGGACUGCCUCAACGGCUUGGACGAGGACCAAUGUGGCCCGACGAAAUGCCCCGCUCACCUUUACCGGUGCGGCAGCGGCGAGUGUGUGGACCCCCUCCUCGUGUGCAACGGUUUCACCAACUGUGCGGACAACUCGGACGAGGGCGCCGGAUGUGCUCGACGCAACUGCUCCAGUCAGUCGGCGCCGCGGUGCGACCACGGCUGUGUCAGCACCCCAAACGGACCGAGAUGUUACUGUGCCGCAGGUUUCAGUCUACAGUCCAGUGGCGUGUUCUGUGUGGACAUCGACGAGUGCAAAGCGGUGCCCCACGUGGUAUGCCAACACACCUGCCUGAACACCCGCGGGUCCUACGUCUGCCAGUGCCUCCCUGGCUUCUACCUGGAGCCUGACCACAAAAGCUGCAAGACCAGAGACGGGCCUUUGCUCCUGGCGUCUGUGCAGUCGGAGCUCCUGCUGCAGGGCGUCCAAAGCGGCUCCUUGCGCCAGCUGACCUCCGUCAAUCGGCCCGUCUUCUCCCUGGAUUAUCUCUGGGCUCUACAGAGGGUUUACUGGCUAAGCUCCGACUACCAGAGCAUCCGCUGGGCUGACAUGACAAACUCCAACAGCAAAGGGACACUUAUCAAAGGCGUGAAGUCUGAUUUCAUCGCGGUGGACUGGAUCGGUAGGAACCUGUAUUGGGUGGAUGGACUGCUGGGUCAGAUUCUGGCUGUGAAGCUCAGUAACACCACGUUGAGAUCUCAGGACUACACCGUGGUCCUGGGUGAGGAUCUGGAGCAGCCGAGCUCGUUGGUCCUGCUGCCACACAAAGGAAUGAUGCUUUGGUCAGAGAUCGGCAGCACGCCUCUGAUCGGGCAGUCCGGGAUGGACGGUUCCAGGAGGAAGGUGGUGGUGAGCCAAGGCUUGAGCUGGCCUGUCGGUCUGUCCUAUGACCUGCUGGACAACCGGGUGUACUGGGCGGACGAGAAGCUGCGCUGCAUCGGCUCGGCCUCGCUGGACGGAGGCGACGUCAAGAUCCUCCAGUUGGCCGAAACGCCGAGCCCUUUCUCGGUGGCUGUCUUCAACGACCGAGUCUUCUGGUCCGACACGAAAAGGAGAACCAUCCGCUCGGCCAACAAGAACACCGGCAAAGAUCAAAAGGUUCUUCUGAAGAGACCAGGCCAGCCCUUUGGAAUUAAAUUGAUGCACACACUUUCCCAGCCAUCCGUAUCCAACCCAUGUGCCUGGCUGCGCUGCUCCCACAUCUGCCUGCUGGCGCCGCCUCUGAGAAGCGCGUCUCAAGCUCUGGGGUCGCCGGCAGGAAGUGGGCUUUCGGCAGUUUGCAGGUGCCCCAAGGGGCUUCUACUCUCCAAGGACAAGAUGACCUGUUCCCCCCCGCUGGAGUCCACGUUCCUCCUGCUUCUGUCUCCUACCAACGUUUAUCAGAUUUACUUGAACUCCAUGCGUCGCGAGGGUGUUGGUCUGAAGAGAAUGGCAAGCGCUCGAACUCUGGCCCUGCCCGGAGUGACGGAGGCCUCUGGCCUGGACGUGUCACUCCAGGACCUUUCUCUGUACGUGGCUGAUGCAGGACAACGAUCCGUGGAGGUGCUGAAAAUGAGCGGCUCUAGGUCCAGACAGGGACUGACACCUGCUGGACAGAUCCUCAAACUGAAUGAUGAUGAGGUCACAGCUCUGGCCGUUGACUGGGUGACGUCCAACCUUUACUGGAGCAGCACGGCGAGGCCUGAUGUCCACGUGACCGCCCACCGUGACGGCUACACCACCGUCCUGCUGCAGGGGUCAUUAAAGUGCACAACGUCCAUUGCCCUCCAUCCCCCCUCGGGAAAACUUUGUUACACGGCUAUGGUCGGGUCCGGGGGGAGGAGCCAAAGCGAGGUGAGCUGCGCCUGGAUGGAUGGCCGUAACAAAGCCGUGCUGUGGAGGAAGUCGAGCAUCCCCACCUCGCUGGCGUUCUCAGACCCCGGAACCACGAUCUACUGGGCCGACGCAGGUGAGGGUGUAAUCGGCUCCAUCGGAGUAGAUGGAACCGGAUAUAAGCAGUACAAAACGGGGCCCGGCCUUCUCACCACAUUCUCACAUACGGAGGACCUCCUCCUGUGGGCCACCGUGGACAAGGAUUUAACCAGGCUGUGGUUCAGCGACGGUCUCCAGCCAAACCAACUGUGGUUUGAGACUAAGACCAGCGUGGUGGAAGUCCAGGCCCACAGCAACGCUAGUCAGACUGGAACGAAUGGCUGCUCCAAAAGCAACGGCGGAUGCGUCCAUCUGUGCCUGCCGCACCCCGGAGGGCGCGCCUGUAAAUGCGGCCGGGGUUUCUAUGCCGCCGCCGCCGCCUGUUUGCCGCUCCCAGGCUGCCCGGCGGGGGAACAGUCUUGCUUUGACGGCACCAAAUGUAUCGUGAGCAGCAAGUUCUGCGACUCACAGGUGGACUGUCCAGACGGGUCGGACGAGCAGGACUGUCCAAACACAAACUCUGCAUCUUUCUGGACCAAAUCAAGUGAUGGCCGUCCUCCCCCGUCUUCCCCUCCUCAGCCCAACAACGUCCAAAAGGACUCGAUGCACACGGUUAAAGACUCUUCAUCCUGUGGCCUCCAGCACUGCAGCGGCGUCGGCCAUUGCAUCACAGAAGGCAAAGUGACUCGCUGCCAGUGCCUGGCCGGUUACCAGGGGGAGUCCUGUCAAGAGGCCCAAACUGGGCGGGGCCACGUGGCUGUGAUCCUGGGCGUCUUCUUCCUCGUUACUGCGUUGACGGUCGCUGCGUUUGUUUUUGCAAAAAGGAGAAACUGGCCGUCAAUCAGAAGCCGAUCCACGGAGAAAGAAACUCUGAUGGAAAACAUGGACCUGCCAUGUGAACACUACGAUUCAGACUGAGGUAAAACCUCAGGCCACUGGGUGUGGAUUGAUUUUCUACAUGGGCACAGGAGCUGGACUCUCCAGUAGAUGUGAAGAACCCCCCGCUAGCGUUGAAGUCAAUGUAGCUCAAAUAAGUUAUUCAUGAUGCAAGUAUUGUCUAAUGUGGUUUCUCUGAUCUCCUUUUGUGCAUUAAAAGUAAAAAGAUUUAA